rnacentral:rRNA from 1 species
AUUGAACGCUGGCGGAAUGCUUUACACAUGCAAGUCGAACGGUAGAGGGGGCAACCCCUUGAGAGUGGCGAACGGGUGAGUAAUAUAUCGGAACGUGCCCAGUCGUGGGGGAUAACGUAGUGAAAAUUACGCUAAUACCGCAUACGAUCUAAGGAUGAAAGCGGGGGAUCGCAAGACCUCGCGCGAUUGGAGCGGCCGAUAUCAGAUUAGGUAGUUGGUGGGGUAAAGGCUCACCAAGCCAACGAUCUGUAGCUGGUCUGAGAGGACGACCAGCCACACUGGAACUGAGACACGGUCCAGACUCCUACGGGAGGCAGCAGUGGGGAAUUUUGGACAAUGGACGCAAGCCUGAUCCAGCCAUUCCGCGUGCAGGAUGAAGGCCCUCGGGUUGUAAACUGCUUUUGUACGGACGAAACGGCCCUUUCUAAUACAAGGGGCUAAUGACGGUACCGUAAGAAUAAGCACCGGCUAACUACGUG